rnacentral:rRNA from 1 species
UNNUNGACCUGCUCAUGNNGUGAAUAGCCGCAGAACUAUUCUGUGCUAAGGUAGCAUAAUCAUUUGUCUUCUAAUUAAAGACUAGAAUGAAAGGUUAAACGAAUAAAAAAUUAUAAUUAUAUAAAAAUAAUUAAAUUAUACUUAUUGUAAAAAUACAACAAUAAAACAAAAAGACGACAAGACCCUGUUGAACUUUACUAAAGUUAUACUGGGGCAGUAUUUCAAUAAAAAUUUCAACUUACAUCAUAAUAAUAACCACCCUAUAAAAAAGAAUUAAAUCAGUUACCACAGGGAUAACAGCGCAAUUUAUUUCCAAAGCUCUUAUAAAAAAAUAAGAUUACGACCUCGAUGUUGAAUUAAUUAAACCAAGCAAAAGCAAAAGUUUGCCUUGAAAGUCUGUUCGACCUUUAAACAAUUACAUGAUCUGAGUCAAAACCCGGAGA